rnacentral:rRNA from 1 species
AGAGUUUGAUCCUGGCUCAGGACGAACGCUGGCGGCGUGCUUAACACAUGCAAGUCGAACGAGAAGAGAAGGAAGCUUGCUUCUUUCAAAUCUAGUGGCAAACGGGUGAGUAACACGUAAACAACCUGCCUUCAGGAUGGGGACAACAGACGGAAACGACUGCUAAUACCGAAUACGUUCCUUAGGUCGCAUGAUCUUGGGAAGAAAGGGUGGCCUCUACCUGUAAGCUAUCGCCUGAAGAGGGGUUUGCGUCUGAUUAGGUAGUUGGUGAGGUAACGGCCCACCAAGCCGACGAUCAGUAGCCGGUCUGAGAGGAUGAACGGCCACACUGGAACUGAGACACGGUCCAGACUCCUACGGGAGGCAGCAGUGGGGAAUCUUCCGCAAUGGGCGAAAGCCUGACGGAGCAACGCCGCGUGAGUGAUGACGGCCUUCGGGUUGUAAAGCUCUGUGAUCGGGGACGAACGGUCGGCAGACGAAUAAUCUGCUGAAUUGACGGUACCCGAAUAGCAAGCCACGGCUAACUACGUGCCAGCAGCCGCGGUAAUACGUAGGUGGCAAGCGUUGUCCGGAAUUAUUGGGCGUAAAGCGCGCGCAGGCGGCUUCUUAAGUCCAUCUUAAAAGUGCGGGGCUUAACCCCGUGAUGGGAUGGAAACUGAGAGGCUGGAGUAUCGGAGAGGAAAGUGGAAUUCCUAGUGUAGCGGUGAAAUGCGUAGAGAUUAGGAAGAACACCGGUGGCGAAGGCGACUUUCUGGACGACAACUGACGCUGAGGCGCGAAAGCGUGGGGAGCAAACAGGAUUAGAUACCCUGGUAGUCCACGCCGUAAACG